rnacentral:rRNA from 1 species
UACGAAGGGGGCUAGCGUUGUUCGGAAUUACUGGGCGUAAAGCGUGCGCAGGCGGCUUCUCAAGUCAGGGGUGAAAGCCCAGAGCUCAACUCUGGAAUUGCCUUUGAGACUGAGUGGCUUGAGUACGAGAGAGGUGAGUGGAAUUCCCAGUGUAGAGGUGAAAUUCGUAGAUAUUGGGAAGAACACCGGUGGCGAAGGCGGCUCACUGGACCAUUACGUGGACGCUGAGGCACGAAAGCUAGGGGAGCAAACAGG